rnacentral:rRNA from 1 species
CCUACGGGAGGCAGCAGUGGGGGAUAGUGCACAAUGGGGGAAACCCUGAUGCAGCGACGCCGCGUGAGUGAAGAAGGAGGUCGGUAUGUAAAGCUCGAGCAGCAGGGAAGAAAAUGACAGUACCUGACCAAGAAGCCCCGGCUAACUACGUGCCAGCAGCCGCGGUAAUACGUAGGGGGCAAGCGUUCUCCGGAGUUACUGGGUGUAAAGGGAGCGUAGACGGUUAGGGAAGGCUGGAGUGAAAGCCCGGGGCCCAACCCCGGGUCUGCUUUGGAAACGGUGUAACUGGAGUCCAGGAGGGGCAGGCGUAAUUCCUGGUGUAGCGGUGACAUGCGUAGAUAUCAGGAG